rnacentral:rRNA from 1 species
GUUGACCUCGGAUCAGGUAGGGAUACCCGCUGAACUUAAGCAUAUCAAUAAGCGGAGGAAAAGAAACCAACAGGGAUUACCUCAGUAACGGCGAGUGAAGCGGUAACAGCUCAAAUUUGAAAUCUGGGUCUUUCAGGCUCCGAGUUGUAAUUUGUAGAAGAUGCUUCGGGUGCGGCUCCGGUCUAAGUUCCUUGGAACAGGACGUCAUAGAGGGUGAGAAUCCCGUAUGUGAUCGGUUGCUUGCGCCCAUGUGAAGCUCUUUCGACGAGUCGAGUUGUUUGGGAAUGCAGCUCAAAAUGGGUGGUAAAUUUCAUCUAAAGCUAAAUAUUGGCCAGAGACCGAUAGCGCACAAGUAGAGUGAUCGAAAGAUGAAAAGCACUUUGGAAAGAGAGUUAAACAGUACGUGAAAUUGUUGAAAGGGAAGCGCUUGCAACCAGACUUGCGCGUUGCCGAUCAUCUGGGGUUCUCCCCAGUGCACUCGGCCUCGCUCAGGCCAGCAUCGGUUUCGGUGGUGGGAUAAAGGCCUUGGGAAUGUAGCUCCUCUCGGGGAGUGUUAUAGCCCUCGGUGCAAUGCCGCCUACCGGGACCGAGGACCGCGCUUCGGCUAGGAUGCUGGCGUAAUGGUUGUAAGCGACCCGUCUUGAAACACGGACCAAGGAGUCUAACAUCUAUGCGAGUGUUUGGGUGUCAAACCCAUACGCGUAAUGAAAGUGAACGGAGGUGAGAACCCUUAAGGGUGCAUCAUCGACCGAUCCUGAUGUCUUCGGAUGGAUUUGAGUAAGAGCAUAGCUGUUGGGACCCGAAAGAUGGUGAACUAUGCCUGAAUAGGGUGAAGCCAGAGGAAACUCUGGUGGAGGCUCGCAGCGGUUCUGACGUGCAAAUCGAUCGUCAAAUUUGGGUAUAGGGGCGAAAGACUAAUCGAACCAUCUAGUAGCUGGUUCCUG